UACAGAGGGUGCAAGCGUUAAUCGGAAUUACUGGGCGUAAAGCGUGCGUAGACGGUUAUUUAAGUCGGGUGUGAAAGCCCCGGGCUCAACCUGGGAAUUGCAUUCGAGACUGAAUAGCUAGGGUGCGGAAGAGGGAAGCGGAAUUUCCGGUGUAGCGGUGAAAUGCGUAGAUAUCGGAAGGAACACCAGUGGCGAAAGCGGCUUCCUGGUCCAGCACCGACGUUCAGGCGCGAAAGCGUGGGGAGCAAACAGG
rnacentral:rRNA from 1 species